rnacentral:rRNA from 1 species
UGGGUCUCGCUCGUUACCUGACUUAACAGGAUGCUUCACAGUACGAACUGACGACGGCCAUGCACCACCUCUCAGCUAAUCCGGCAAAGUCUUCAGCCUGGCCUUCAUAUUGCUGUCGGUCCCGGUAAGAUUUCCGGCGUUGAAUCCAAUUAAACCGCAAGCUCCACCCGUUGUGGUGCUCCCCCGCCAAUUCCUUUAAGUUUCAGCCUUGCGGCCGUACUUCCCAGGUGGCUCGCUUCACGGCUUCCCUACGGCACCGACAACGGUCGCACCGUGGCCGACACCUAGCGAGUAUCGUUUACGGCUAGGACUACCCGGGUAUCUAAUCCGGUUCGUGCCCCUAGCUUUCGUCCCUUGCCGUCAGGUCCGUUCUGGUGAGACGCCUUCGCCACUGGUGGUCCUUCAAGGAUUACAAGAUUUCACCCCUACCCCUGAAGUACCUCUCACCUCUCCCGGCCUCGAGCCAGACAGUAUCUCCUGAAAGCCUGACAGUUAAGCUGCCAGAUUUCUCAAGAGACUUAUCCGGCCGGCUACAGACCCUUUAGACCCAAUAAUAACGGUUACCACUCGAGCCGCCGGUGUUACCGCGGCGGCUGGCACCGGUCUUGCCCGGCCCUUGCUAUGAAAUGCUUUUUAGGCAUCUCGACAGCCAGAUUUGUAACCUGGCACUCGAGGUUCCCUUAUCGCUGUUGCCAGCAUUGUAAAGUUUUCGCGCCUGCUGCACCCCGUAGGGCCUGGAUUCGUGUCUCAGAAUCCAUCUCCGGGCUCUUGCU